rnacentral:rRNA from 1 species
AUACGUAGGGAGCGAGCGUUGUCCGGACUUACUGGGUGUAAAGGGCGAGUAGGCGGGAUUGCAAGUCAGAUGUGAAAUCUAUCGGCUUAACUGAUAGACUGCAUUUGAAACUGCGGUUCUUGAGUGAUGGAGAGGCAGGCGGAAUUCCUAGUGUAGCGGUGAAAUGCGUAGAUAUUAGGAGGAACACCAGUGGCGAAGGCGGCCUGCUGGACAUUAACUGACGCUGAGGCGCGAAAGCGUGGGGAGCAAACAGGAUUAGAUGCCCUGGUAGUCCACGCUGUAAACGAUGGAUACUAGGUGUGGGGGGUACUGACCCCUUCCGUGCCGCAGUUAACACAAUAAGUAUCCCACCUGGGGAGUACGGCCGCAAGGUUGAA